AUUGAACGCUGGCGGCAGGCCUACCACAUGCAAUUCGCACGAGUGGCGGACGGGUGAUUAAUGUCUGGGAACCUGCCCGAUGGAGGGGGAUCACUACUGGACACGGUAUCUAAUACCGCAUACCAUCGGAUGUUCCCAGAUGGGAUUCGCUAGUAGGUGGGGUAAAGGCUCACCUCGGCGACGAUCCCUAGCUGGUCUGAGAGGAUGACCAGCCACACUGGAACUGAGACACGGUCCAGACUCCUACGGGAGGCAGCAGUGGGGAAUAUUGCACAAUGGGCGCAAGCCGGAUGCAGCCAUGCGGCGUGUAUGAAGAAGGCCUUCGGGUUGUAAAGUACUUUCAGCGGGGAGGCGUUACUCGCAGAAGAAGCACCGGCUAACUCCGUGCCAGCAGCCGCGGUAAUAC
rnacentral:rRNA from 1 species